CAAUUUGCCUACUGGUCAUCAAAGGGCUCGGUACAACGUAAGCUUUGCCUUUUUCUGGCAAUAGAUGCUGGAAUUUUUUCAAAACGCCAACUACACGUGCAAGCUUACUUUGAAGAUGUUCUUUGUGACUAUCCCAUAGCAUGAAUUCAUUAAAGUAGACUCCAAGCAUUCUGUGUUAGUAAUUUCUAUGGCAUUCCCUCCUAAGCUUGCAGAUAUUGAACAGCUGAUGGUGCGACAAGAAUCCCAGUAUCUUCCUUGCUGUACAUUUUGAAACAAUUCUUGAACAUACAAUUUCCGUCGUGAAGUGGUACAUCCUUUGGUCAUCCUACUGUGUUGCUCCUGAAAUGCCAAUAAAGAUUACAAUGUAGAAAAUUUGCUUUGUUUUAUUUUUAUUUGAAGACAUCAUUCAAAGUGCAUGUCCAGGCUCUAAAAUUCAUAUUGACCGAGCAUACUUACUGAACCAAGGUGCCCAAGACCAAUUAAGAACUUACAAUUUAAAGCCAUAACCAGAAUAAGCAUUCUAAAAAACUUGGAGGAUGCUUGAGUUAUGCCUUCAAGAGAACGCGAUAGCGUAAUCGAGGCCCGUGCGCAUUGCCUUCAACCGUGCCGCAAGGAAAGGAUUGUCUGUGCGGGUAACAUUGGCCGUUUCAAACUAUGCUAGAAUGCCUACUUUGCAAGUACAGUUGCGAAGUGCCCACUACGCCAUAAUUCUUCCUUUUGCAAAUCAGCAAAGUACCCACUGUGUACAUAUGGAGGUGUGCGUAAGGUGCCACACACACCUGCACAACUGCACACUUUGUAAUGGGUGGGAAGUUUUAGACCACCAUUGCACCAUUCUCAUGUUUUGACACCAGGUGCGAUUCUAUGAUUCUGUCACGCAAUAUUACAUGCGUUAA